GAUGAACGCUGGCGGCGUGCCUAAUACAUGCAAGUCGAGCGAAUGGACGAGAAGCUUGCUUCUCUUCUGUUAGCGGCGGACGGGUGAUUAACACGUGGAUAACCUAUCUAGAAGACUGGGAUAACUUCGCGAAACCGUAUCUAAUACCGGAUAAUAUUUUGAACGGUAUGGUUCUAAAGUCAAAGACGGACUUGCUGUCACUUAUUGAUGGUACCGCGCUGCAUUAGCUGGUUGCUAGGGUAACGGCUUACCAAGGCUACGAUGCAUAGCCGACCGGAGAGGGUGAUCGGCCACACUGGAACUGAGACACGGUCCAGACUCCUACGGGAGGCAGCAGUAGGGAAUCUUCCACAAUGGGCGAAAGCCUGAUGAAGCAACGCCGCGUGAGUGAUGAAGGUCUUCGGAUCGUAAAGCUCUUUUAGUGGGGAAGAAGGUAUGUAUAAUUAUCUCUGCCCAUCUUGACGUUACCUACUCAGAAAGCCACGGCUAACUUCGUG
rnacentral:rRNA from 1 species